GGGAUUGUGGCUCAGUGGUAGAGCACUUGCCUAGCAUGUAUGAGGCCCUGGGUUCGAUCUUCAGCACCA
rnacentral:tRNA from 1 species